rnacentral:rRNA from 1 species
CCUGGGAGUACGCUCGCCAAGAGUGAACUCAAGGAAUUGACGGGGCCCGCCCAACGGUGGAGCAUGUGCUUUAUUCGAUGCAACGCAAGAACCUUACUUGGGCUCGAACGCUAUCUUGACAGGUCUUGAAAGGAUCUUCUUUCGGACGGAUAGUGAGGUGCUGCAUGGCUGUCGUCAGCUCGUGUCGUGAGAUGUUGGGUUAAGUCCCGCAACGAGCGCCAACCCCUAUUACUUAGUUACCAGCACAUUAUGGUGGGACUCUAGUGAGACUGCCUGCGCAAGCAGUGAGGAAGGUGGGGACGACGUCAAGUCAUCAUGGCCCUUAUGCCCAGGGCUGCACACGUGCUACAAUGGUCGGUACAAUGGGCUGCCCACCUCGCGAGAGGGAGCGAAUCCACAAAGCCGAUCUCAGUUCGGAUCGUAGUCUGCAACUCGACUACGUGAAGCCGGAAUCGCUAGUAAUCGCGUAUCAGCAACGACGCGGUGAAUACGUUCCCGGGCCUUGUACACACCGCCCGUCAAGCCAUGGAAGCUGAGGGUACCCAACGUCCGUGACCCGACCGUAAGGAGGGAGCGGCCUAAGGUAAAAUUAGUGACUGGGGCUAAGUCGUAACAAGGUAGC